AGUGUGCCCGAGGAGCCAGGGACAGACAGAAGUUCUCGGUUUGGAGGAACUUGGAGAAGCGGUAUUACCUUGGGUUUUUUUCGACAUUUGAAAUAACAAAUGCAAAUUUUAUUGGCGUCGUGACACUGAGCUGCUACUUUAUUAGGCUCUCAGAAGCCCACUCAGUUCUCACCUCAGUACUUUUAGUUGGUAGGAUCCACGUUCCCUCCCGAACUAAAGUGAAGCUAAGGAACCACUUAAAGGAAACAAGAAAGCUGCCGGUGAACUGGCUGAUACUGUAAUUCAGUUGAUGAAUGAAAUGGAAGCUGGUAAUCCAUGGAAGGCUGGAUGUUUGCAGGGUACCUACUGUGAAGCUGUGACCCUGGCUGGGUCAGUGGCACAUCUAUCAUCUCAGUGACUCGGGAGGCUGAGGCAGGAGGAUUGCAAGUUGGAGACCAGCCUCAACAACUUAACAAGAAAGACUGUGUCUCAACAUAAAAAAUAGGACUGUGGAUGCAGCUCAGUGGUAAAGUGCCCCCAGGUUCAAUACCUGGUACACAAAAUAAUAAUAAACUAACGCUUUGGGGCAGUAUGACCCUGAAAGUCUGGGUCAUUUGCCAGAGUGCCUCCUCCUGAACCUGGAGUUCUUCUCAGCUGGAUGCUCUACACCUCUUUGGUAUCUGACUUCUAGGACAGUUGGCCAGCUGCUGGACACAGCCAUUUGUGGGAGGUGCCUGCAAAGGCGGCCUCUGCCCUGAGGUCAGACUCACCCUCUGCACUUCUCAUCCUUCACAUUGGUGUCCCUCAAACCGCCUGUGGUCGGCUCCUCCCUGGUGCCUUCCUUAGACGCCUUUUUUUUUUUUAAUAUUUAUUAGUUGUAGAUGAGCACUCAGUACCCUUAUUUACUUUUAUGUGGUGCUCAGGAUUGAACCCAGUGCCUCACAUAUGAGAGGCAACACUUGACCACUGAGCUGCAGCCUCAGUGCUCCUCGGACGUCUUAAACAUGCCCUUCGUUUUCUCCUGGGCUUCUCGGCGGGGAGUCGGUGUACAACAGAAAACUCCUCCACCAGCUGUUGUUUUGAUACCCUGAAAGGACAGGGAACCCAAUCACAGACACCUAGUGUGGCAUCUGUGUGCCACAGCCUGGAUGUUGAACAGCCCUGUGUUAAAAGCUCGGUCCCCAGAGGGACUCUACUGGGAGAGGGUGGCAGUGUUGAUGGAGGGGGCUAUGGGAGGUCCUUAGGUCAUUAGGAGUGUGCUUGAAGGGGACUGUGAGACCCCAGGCUCUUUCUCUUUGCUUCCUGGCCAUGAGGUGGGUGGCUUGGCUCUGCCACAUGCCCCCCAUGACGUGCUGCCCAGCUACAGGCCCAGAACAACAGAGCAGUUGACCACUGACUGGAACCUCCCAAACUGUGAGCCCAAAUAAAUAUUUUCUUUGUGAA